AUAUUAACUGUGCAAAGGUAGCAUAAUCAUUAGUCUUUUAAUUGAAGGCUUGAAUGAAUGGUUGGACAAGAUAUAAACUGUUUUAUUUAAAUUUAUAUAAAACUUUAUUUUUUAGUAAAAAAGCUAAAAUUUUAUUAAAAGACGAGAAGACCCUAUAGAUCUUUAUAUUUAUAAUUAUUGAAAUUAUAAAGGAGAUUUUUAUUUUAAUAAUUAAUAUAUUUUGUUGGGGAGACAACAAGAUUUUUUUAACUCUUGUAUAAUAUAAACAAUUAUUUUUGAUUAUUUGAUCCAUUAUUAUUGAUUAAAAAAUUAAGUUACCUUAGGGAUAACAGCGUAAUUUUUUUGGAGAGUUCAUAUCGAUAAAAAAGUUUGCGACCUCGAUGUUGGAUUAA
rnacentral:rRNA from 1 species